CUUCGUUCUGGCUCUCAAAGGGUGUUUGCCCCUGGUGCUAGGGGGUAAUAUCCGAGGCACUAAGGCUGCCCUGGCACCUUACAUAAAGGGGGUUAUCAUUGCCUGACCCUUCCCCAUUGCUCUUGGAUAAUGGUGGAAAUGAAGGGGUGGGUCUUUCGUGCAUCACCUGAGUUCUGGGGUAAAUGUAGAGAGUGUCAAUCACAAGCCGAGCUCAGAGCUGGGAAGGAGCUACAGAUGGCGGCUGUGCCUGAGAGAGCGCACUCAGCCCGCUGCCGUCUCCUGCGCUUCAAUCAACUUUCUUCAACUUUGUUUCGCCCCCUGGGGGACCCCCACCCUUCCUCCUGUCGCCGCGAGUAUCGAGGGGCUCCGGAGCCCUGGAUUUUGAGCCGUUUUUUGGUGUCCGGUCUCCGGCGGGCAGAAGGAGCCGAGGAGUCUGCUUGUUGUUUUCCCAGCUCAUGGCGCACCUCCAUUUUCCCCGGGACUCUAUCAUUUUCAUGUAUUUCCCCCCCGUUUGUUUAAAUACAAGGAUUCCCAUCCGGACCCGGUACAUGGGCUGACCAGCAAAUACCUGGGCAUAGUACUUGAAAGGCCAGUCUGCCAUCUGCCUCCGGUACUACGGGCAUCCAAGAUGAUGAGGAAUAAGGAGAAACCCUUGGAGGACGAGGACGGCUCAGCCCACAGCAAUGCAUCGAGCUAGGCAGGUUGGGUUGAGUGGAGGGGAGUCGUUGCCUGGUUGGUAGACCGAGGCGAAGGCAAGACAAAAUAACCAAUAAAAGAGAGAACAGAGCCUUGUGUGCAGAAGAAACCCGCGCUAACGGCUGUUACCCCGACGUGUAGAGUAUUGGGGUACCAGGUGCUUGUGGCCCCUGAAAGCCUCCUGCCAGAUCCUCCCUGUAAUGGCGCCCACAGGCUCGAUGAAAAUGUCAACUUGUACAUUCUUUCCUCCUUAAAAGGUUUCUUUAUGCUCAAAAGAUGCUAUUAUUUGCUUCUGUGAAUUAUCAAGCUGAUUUUUUUUCUUAACAACUAUUACAGUCCUAUAAAAAGUGAAUGAGCUCAAUCCUUGGACAAUUGAAAAGGAUUCAACAGAUGAAGUCAAAGAUUGCUACUCUAGUGGGAAGCGUAAUGGAUUGGACUAAAAUAUUAUUCGUUCAAGAAUGAUCAUUUGAAAAAUGGACUCUUUACGAAACAAUUGGGUUUACUAUUGAUUUGUGAACUGCUCUUUUACAAUGUUUUACUACAUUUUGUGCUUAACUUUUUUUGACGAUUAUCAGAAUAUUUUAAUAAAGGCAAAUAUCGACCUGC